GACGAACGCUGGCGGCGUGCUUAACACAUGCAAGUCGAACGAUGAAGCCGGAGCUUGCUCUGGUGAAUUAGUGGCGAACGGGUGAGUAACACGUGAGUAACCUGCCCUUGACUCUGGGAUAACUGCUAGAAAUGGUAGCUAAUACCGGAUACGACCCUCGGAGGCAUCUCCAGGGGGUGGAAAGAAUUUCGGUCAAGGAUGGACUCGCGGCCUAUCAGCUAGUUGGUGAGGUAACGGCUCACCAAGGCGACGACGGGUAGCCGGCCUGAGAGGGUGACCGGCCACACUGGGACUGAGACACGGCCCAGACUCCUACGGGAGGCAGCAGUGGGGAAUAUUGCACAAUGGGCGCAAGCCUGAUGCAGCAACGCCGCGUGAGGGAUGACGGCCUUCGGGUUGUAAACCUCUUUAGUAGGGAAGAAGCGAAAGUGACGGUACCUGCAGAAAAAGCACCGGCUAACUACGUGCCAGCCGCCGCGGUAA
rnacentral:rRNA from 1 species